CCUACGGGAGGCAGCAGUGGGGAAUAUUGGGCAAUGGGCGCAAGCCUGACCCAGCAACGCCGCGUGAAGGAAGAAGGCUUUCGGGUUGUAAACUUCUUUUCUGAGGGACGAAGAAAGUGACGGUACCUCAGGAAUAAGCCACGUCUAACUACGUGCCAGCAGUCGCGGUAAUACGUAGGUGGCAAGCGUUAUCCGGAUUUAUUGGGUGUAAAGAGCGUGUAGGCGGGAAAGCAAGUCAGAUGUGAAAACUCAGGGCUCAACCCUGAGCCUGCAUUUGAGACUGUUUUUCUUGAGUGCUGGUGAGGUAAUCGGAAUUCGGGGUGUAGCGGUGAAAUGCGUAGAUAUAAGGAGGAACACCAGUGGCGAAGGCAGAUUGCUGCACAGUAACUGACGCUGAGGCGCGAAAGCGUGGGGAGCAAACAGGAUUAGAUACCCUUGUAGUC
rnacentral:rRNA from 1 species